UGGGGAAUCUUGCACAAUGGGGGAAACCCUGAUGCAGCGACGCCGCGUGAGCGAUGAAGGUUUUCGAAUCGUAAAGCUCUGUCCUAUGGGAAGAUAAUUACGGUACCAUAGGAGGAAGCCCCGGCUAACUACGUGCCAGCAGCCGCGGUAAUACGUAGGGGGCGAGCGUUGUCCGGAAUUACUGGGCGUAAAGGGUUCGCAGGCGGCAUGACAAGUCCGAUGUAAAAGGCGAAAGCUCAACUUUCGUAAGCAUCGGAAACUGUCAAGCUUGAGUGAAGGAGAGGCAAGUGGAAUUCCUAGUGUAGCGGUGGAAUGCGUAGAUAUUAGGGGGAAUACCGGUGGCGAAGGUGACUUGCUGGACUUCAACUGACGCUGAGGAACGAAAGCGUGGGUAGCAAACAGG
rnacentral:rRNA from 1 species